rnacentral:rRNA from 1 species
UACGUAGGGCGCGAGCGUUGUCCGGAAUUACUGGGCGUAAAGCGUGCGUAGGUGGUUCGUUAAGUCUGAUGUGAAAGCCCUGGGCUCAACCUGGGAAUGGCAUUGGAAACUGGCUUACUAGAGUGCGGUAGAGGGGUGUGGAAUUCCCGGUGUAGCAGUGAAAUGCGUAGAGAUCUGGAGGAACACCGAUGGCGAAGGCAGCCCCCUGGGCUAACACUGACGCUCAUGCACGAAAGCGUGGGGAGCAAACAGG